UUUCCAGACUCCUACGGGAGGCAGCAGUGGGGAAUAUUGCUCAAUGGGGGGAACCCUGAUGCAGCGACGCCGCGUGGGUGAAGGAGUAUUUCGGUAUGUAAAGCCCUAUCAGCAGGGAAGAACAAUGACGGUACCUGACUAAGAAGCACCGGCUAAAUACGUGCCAGCAGCCGCGGUAAUACGUAUGGUGCAAGCGUUAUCCGGAUUUACUGGGUGUAAAGGGAGCGCAGGCGGUCUGGCAAGUCUGAUGUGAAAGGCCGGGGCUCAACCCCGGGACUGCAUUGGAAACUGUCAGACUGGAGUGUCGGAGAGGUAAGCGGAAUUCCUAGUGUAGCGGUGAAAUGCGUAGAUAUUAGGAGGAACACCAGUGGCGAAGGCGGCUUACUGGACGAUGACUGACGCUGAGGCUCGAAAGCGUGGGGAGCAAACAGGAUUAGAUACCCGAGUA
rnacentral:rRNA from 1 species